GACGAACGCUGGCGGCGUGCUUAACACAUGCAAGUCGAACGGAAAGGCCCUGCUUUUGUGGGGUGCUCGAGUGGCGAACGGGUGAGUAACACGUGUGUGAACUGCCCUUGACUUUGGGAUAACUUCAGGGAACUGGGGCUAAUACCGCAUAUGAGCUCCUGCUGCGUGGUGGGGGUUGGAAAGUUUCGGCGGUUGGUGAUGGACUCGCGGCGUAUCAGCUUGUUAGUGGGGUAUUGUCUGACCAAGGCUUUGACGGGUAGCCGGCAUGAGAGGGUGACCGGCGACAUAGCGACUGAGAUAGGGACCAGAAGCGUAUGGGAGGCAGCAGUCGGGAAUCUGGCGCAACGGGCGGACGUCAGAGAAAGCAACGCCGGGUGCGGGAUGCCGGCUUGUGAGUGAUAAACCGGUGCCGCAGGAGACGAAGCGUGCGUGACGGUAAUGGGUAAAGAAGCACCGGCUAACUACGUG
rnacentral:rRNA from 1 species